GGAACAACCCACCAUGGACGAGACUGUGCAGACCCACAGAGGUGAGGCUGCAGGCAGGUGGUCUGCUUUGCCUAUGCAUAGAUCUGGUCCAGCAAAGAAAAUAUUCCCCAUAGGCAUCGGCCUGUUGGCCUGUUUCUGCCUUUUGGAAGGUAAAGAGGGGAGCUUCAUUUAAAGAGGCUGUAAGAACAUGGAAACUGCUCUAUCGUGUAGAGAGGGGAAGAGCUAAAUUCAGGUGAAAAAGAAUUAUUUCAGUCUUCCCUGGGAUGGGUAGGUAAGUACGAAAAGAUGUUUCCCCUUCUUUCCACUUUCACCCAAAGUUAUUAAUUCCUUCCUAACUCUUGCCUGCCACAUAGUUCUGUGUGGGCCAGUGGAGGCAAUGCUGAGUUAAGCCAAUUUCUAUGGAGGAUGAAUGAAUGCCUGGGAAAGAGACGGGUGGAAAAUAUAGAGCUAGCACGAUACAAGAGACUGAAAAAAGGUUAUUUCCUCGUUUUGUCAUGAAGUUCCAGGAAAUUUGUCUCAUGAGGAUUAGAAGUGCUGCCAUCUGCAAUACAGACAUUUCUAUCAGCGGAUAUGACCAGGAAAACCUACUGUUUCUUUCAUGUACCUGUGAGUUUCAUGACAGGGCUGGAUCUUCAGGGGGGACACCUGAUCAGGGAUCCCAUAAAGCUCUAGCAAGGACCACAGCUGUGAGGGAGGACAUGCUGCACCACCGCGUACAUCGUGCCCUGCAAGGGAACCCGCGUGCCAGCCAGGAACCUACUGAAGACUACUUUGAAGUUAAGUCCUGGUUUUUUUUUGUCCUUAUUUCAUGUCUCAGGAUGAUCUCAGUCUUAAGGUGUUUUUUUUUUUGUUUUGUUUUGUUUUUUUUAAGGUUGCUUAAAUGA
rnacentral:lncRNA from 1 species